UACGUAGGGUGCGAGCGUUGUCCGGAAUUACUGGGCGUAAAGAGCUCGUAGGUGGUUUGUCGCGUUGUUCGUGAAAACCGGGGGCUUAACCCUCGGCGUGCGGGCGAUACGGGCAGACUUGAGUACUGCAGGGGAGACUGGAAUUCCUGGUGUAGCGGUGGAAUGCGCAGAUAUCAGGAGGAACACCGGUGGCGAAGGCGGGUCUCUGGGCAGCAACUGACGCUGAGGAGCGAAAGCGUGGGGAGCGAACAGG
rnacentral:rRNA from 1 species